AUUGAACGCUGGCGGCAUGCCUUACACAUGCAAGUCGAACGGUAACAGGCCGCAAGGUGCUGACGAGUGGCGAACGGGUGAGUAAUGCAUCGGAACGUGCCCAGUAGUGGGGGAUAGCCCGGCGAAAGCCGGAUUAAUACCGCAUACGACCUGAGGGUGAAAGGGGGGGAUCGCAAGACCUCUCGCUAUUGGAGCGGCCGAUGUCAGAUUAGCUAGUUGGUGGGGUAAAGGCCUACCAAGGCAACGAUCUGUAGUUGGUCUGAGAGGACGACCAGCCACACUGGGACUGAGACACGGCCCAGACUCCUACGGGAGGCAGCAGUGGGGAAUUUUGGACAAUGGGCGCAAGCCUGAUCCAGCAAUGCCGCGUGCAGGAAGAAGGCCUUCGGGUUGUAAACUGCUUUUGUCAGGGAAGAAAUCUUCUGGGUUAAUACCUCGGGAGGAUGACGGUGCCUGAAGAAUAAGCACCGGCUAACUACGUGCCAGCAGCCGCGGUAAUAC
rnacentral:rRNA from 1 species